CCUACGGGGGGCAGCAGUGAGGAAUAUUGGUCAAUGGACGAGAGUCUGAACCAGCCAAGUAGCGUGAAGGAUGACUGCCCUAUGGGUUGUAAACUUCUUUUAUAUGGGAAUAAAAUGUUCCACGUGUGGGAUUUUGUAUGUACCAUAUGAAUAAGGAUCGGCUAACUCCGUGCCAGCAGCCGCGGUAAUACGGAGGAUCCGAGCGUUAUCCGGAUUGAUUGGGUUUAAAGGGAGCGUAGGUGGAUUGUUAAGUCAGUUGUGAAAGUUUGCGGCUCAACCGUAAAAUUGCAGUUGAAACUGGCAGUCUUGAGUACAGGAGAGGUGGGCGGAAUUCGUGGUGUAGCGGUGAAAUGCUUAGAUAUCACGAAGAACUCCGGUUGCGAAGGCAGCUCACUGGACUGCAACUGACGCUGAGGUUCGAAAGUGUGGGUAUCAAACAGGAUUAGAUACCCGAGUAGUC
rnacentral:rRNA from 1 species